rnacentral:rRNA from 1 species
UACGUAGGGGGCUAGCGUUGUCCGGAAUCAUUGGGCGUAAAGCGCGUGUAGGCGGCCCGGUAAGUCCGCUGUGAAAGUCGGGGGGCUCAACCCUCGGAUGCCGGUGGAUACUGUCGGGCUAGAGUCCGGAAGAGGCGAGUGGAAUUCCUGGUGUAGCGGUGAAAUGCGCAGAUAUCAGGAGGAACACCGAUGGCGAAGGCAGCUCGCUGGGACGGUACUGACGCUGGAGGAGCGAAAGCGUGGGGAGCGAACAGG